rnacentral:ncRNA from 2 species
UCUUUCCCAAGGGGGAGCGGAUGUUAUCCGCUGAGAGGAGGGUGUAACCCUCGACCCCUUGAACCUGAUCCGGGUAAUGCCGGCGGAGGGAUUUGGGAAAGAGUGAGAG